rnacentral:rRNA from 1 species
AUUGAACGCUGGCGGCAUGCCUUACACAUGCAAGUCGAACGGCAGCAUAGGAGCUUGCUCCUGAUGGCGAGUGGCGAACGGGUGAGUAAUAUAUCGGAACGUGCCCUAGAGUGGGGGAUAACUAGUCGAAAGACUAGCUAAUACCGCAUACGAUCUACGGAUGAAAGUGGGGGAUCGCAAGACCUCAUGCUCCUGGAUCGGCCGAUAUCUGAUUAGCUAGUUGGUGGGGUAAAAGCCUACCAAGGCAACGAUCAGUAGCUGGUCUGAGAGGACGACCAGCCACACUGGGACUGAGACACGGCCCAGACUCCUACGGGAGGCAGCAGUGGGGAAUUUUGGACAAUGGGGGCAACCCUGAUCCAGCAAUGCCGCGUGAGUGAAGAAGGCCUUCGGGUUGUAAAGCUCUUUUGUCAGGGAAGAAACGGUAGUAGCGAAUAACUAUUACUAAUGACGGUACCUGAAGAAUAAGCACCGGCUAACUACGUGCCAGCCGCCGCAGUAAAAC